CGCAGGCGCAAACGGUCCAAGGCGCCGAGAUUGCCGGCCGAGUGCGGGAAGAAGGGGUGCUGAGCUGGGAGGUGCCCAUCCCCGGCUAUGUGUGCCCAAGGGAUUUGUGCCCACCCUCGUAGACUCUGGGGGCUGAAGCCGUCGCUCUGGGAGUCCAGUGACCGGCGAGGACGCUCACCUGGCCUGAGGAGGGGGUCGGGCUGCAGAUCGUGAUAGGCCUGGAGAGACAGGGUCUCAAUCUCGUGCCCAGGCUGAAGUCCAAUGGUGUGAUAAUAGCUCACUGCAGCCUCAACCUCUGGAGCUCAAGCAGUCCUCUGCCUCAGCCUCCCAAGUAGCUGGAACUACAGGCAUAUUCUGUCACACCCAGUUCUUAAAAGCUGGAAAUUUGGCAUGGCAUGGUGGCUCACACCUGUAAUCCCAGCACUUUGGAAGGCUGAAGCAGUGGAUCACAAGGUCAGGAGUUCGAGACUAGCCUGGCCAAUAUGAUGAAACCCCAUCUGUACUAAAAAAAAUAAAAAAGUUAACCAGG